rnacentral:rRNA from 1 species
GAGUUUGAUCAUGGCUCAGAUUGAACGCUGGCGGCAGGCCUAACACAUGCAAGUCGAACGGUAACAGGAAGCAGCUUGCUGCUUCGCUGACGAGUGGCGGACGGGUGAGUAAUGUCUGGGAAACUGCCUGAUGGAGGGGGAUAACUACUGGAAACGGUAGCUAAUACCGCAUAAUGUCGCAAGACCAAAGAGGGGGACCUUCGGGCCUCUUGCCAUCGGAUGUGCCCAGAUGGGAUUAGCUUGUUGGUGGGGUAACGGCUCACCAAGGCGACGAUCCCUAGCUGGUCUGAGAGGAUGACCAGCCACACUGGAACUGAGACACGGUCCAGACUCCUACGGGAGGCAGCAGUGGGGAAUAUUGCACAAUGGGCGCAAGCCUGAUGCAGCCAUGCCGCGUGUAUGAAGAAGGCCUUCGGGUUGUAAAGUACUUUCAGCGGGGAGGAAGGGAGUAAAGUUAAUACCUUUGCUCAUUGACGUUACCCGCAGAAGAAGCACCGGCUAACUCCGUGCCAGCAGCCGCGGUAAUACGGAGGGUGCAAGCGUUAAUCGGAAUUACUGGGCGUAAAGCGCACGCAGGCGGUUUGUUAAGUCAGAUGUGAAAUCCCCGGGCUCAACCUGGGAACUGCAUCUGAUACUGGCAAGCUUGAGUCUCGUAGAGGGGGGUAGAAUUCCAGGUGUAGCGGUGAAAUGCGUAGAGAUCUGGAGGAAUACCGGUGGCGAAGGCGGCCCCCUGGACGAAGACUGACGCUCAGGUGCGAAAGCGUGGGGAGCAAACAGGAUUAGAUACCCUGGUAGUCCACGCCGUAAACGAUGUCGACUUGGAGGUUGUGCCCUUGAGGCGUGGCUUCCGGAGCUAACGCGUUAAGUCGACCGCCUGGGGAGUACGGCCGCAAGGUUAAAACUCAAAUGAAUUGACGGGGGCCCGCACAAGCGGUGGAGCAUGUGGUUUAAUUCGAUGCAACGCGAAGAACCUUACCUGGUCUUGACAUCUACGGAAGUUUUCAGAGAUGAGAAUGUGCCUUCGGGAACCGUGAGACAGGUGCUGCAUGGCUGUCGUCAGCUCGUGUUGUGAAAUGUUGGGUUAAGUCCCGCAACGAGCGCAACCCUUAUCCUUUGUUGCCAGCGGUCCGGCCGGGAACUCAAAGGAGACUGCCAGUGAUAAACUGGAGGAAGGUGGGGAUGACGUCAAGUCAUCAUGGCCCUUACGACCAGGGCUACACACGUGCUACAAUGGCGCAUACAAAGAGAAGCGACCUCGCGAGAGCAAGCGGACCUCAUAAAGUGCGUCGUAGUCCGGAUUGGAGUCUGCAACUCGACUCCAUGAAGUCGGAAUCGCUAGUAAUCGUGGAUCAGAAUGCCACGGUGAAUACGUUCCCGGGCCUUGUACACACCGCCCGUCACACCAUGGGAGUGGGUUGCAAAAGAAGUAGGUAGCUUAACCUUCGGGAGGGCGCUUACCACUUUGUGAUUCAUGACUGGGGUGAAGUCGUAACAAGGUAACCGUAGGGGAACCUGCGGUUGGAUCACC